UACAGAGGUCCCAAGCGUUGUUCGGAUUCACUGGGCGUAAAGGGUGUGUAGGCGGUCGGGUAAGUCUGAUGUGAAAUCUCACAGCUUAACUGUGAAACUGCAUUGGAUACUAUCCGGCUAGAGGAAUGGAGGGGAGACUGGAAUACUUGGUGUAGCAGUGAAAUGCGUAGAUAUCAAGUGGAACACCAGUGGCGAAGGCGAGUCUCUGGACAUUUCCUGACGCUGAGGCACGAAAGCCAGGGGAGCAAACGGG
rnacentral:rRNA from 1 species